ACUACGGGAGGCAGCAGUGAGGAAUAUUGGUCAAUGGACGAGAGUCUGAACCAGCCAAGUAGCGUGAAGGAUGACUGCCCUAUGGGUUGUAAACUUCUUUUAUAUGGGAAUAAAAUGUUCCACGUGUGGGAUUUUGUAUGUACCAUAUGAAUAAGGAUCGGCUAACUCCGUGCCAGCAGACGCGGUAAUACGGAGGAUCCGAGCGUUAUCCGGAUUUAUUGGGUUUUAAGGGAGCGUAGGUGAAUUGUUAAGUCGGUGGUGACAGUUUGCGGCUCAACCGUAAAAUUGCAGUUGAAACUGGCAGUCUUAAGUACAGUAGAGGUGGGCGGAAUUCGUGGGGUAGCGGUGAAAUGCUUAGAUAUCACGAAGAACUCCGAGUGCGAAGGCAGCUCACUGGACUGCAACUGAAACUGAGGCUCGAAAGUGUGGGUAUCAAACAGGAUUAGAUACCCGAGUAGUC
rnacentral:rRNA from 1 species